GUGCUUGUUUCAGCAGGACAUAUACUAAAAUUGGAACAAUACAGAGAAUAGCAUGGCCCCCAAACAAAGGGGACAUGCACAUUUGGAAAUCGUUCCAUAUUCUU